GCCAAUGGUGGUUCAAUGAUAGAUUUCUCGCCUGCUUCGCGGGAGGCCCUGGUUCGAUACCCGGCCGAUGCU